rnacentral:rRNA from 1 species
GAUGAACGCUGGCGGCGUGCCUAAUACAUGCAAGUCGAGCGAACGGACGAGAAGCUUGCUUCUCUGAUGUUAGCGGCGGACGGGUGAGUAACACGUGGAUAACCUACCUAUAAGACUGGGAUAACUUCGGGAAACCGUAGCUAAUACCGGAUAAUAUUUUGAACCGCAUGGUUCAAAAGUGAAAGACGGUCUUGCUGUCACUUCUAGAUGGAUCCGCGCUGCAUUAGCUAGUUGGUAAGGUAACGGCUUACCAAGGCAACGAUGCAUAGCCGACCUGAGAGGGGGAUGGGCGACACUGAAGGUGAGACGCGGUCCAGGGGCCGAGGGGAGGCAGAGGUAGGGAAGCUACGGAAAGGGGGGAAAGCUUGCAGGAGGAGCGCAGGGGGGGUGAUGAAGGGCUGCGGGUGGGAAAACGCUGUUAUGGGGGAAGACCAUAUGUGUAAGUAACGGUGCGCAUGUGGAGGGAACCUAAAAAGAAGACCCGGCUAACCUCGUG